UACGUAGGGGGCUAGCGUUGUCCGGAUUUAUUGGGCGUAAAGAGCGUGUAGGCGGCCAGGUAGGUCUGCUGUGAAAACUCGAGGCUCAACCUCGAGACGUCGGCGGAAACCAUCUGGCUAGAGUCCGGAAGAGGAGAGUGGAAUUCCUGGUGUAGCGGUGAAAUGCGCAGAUAUCAGGAAGAACACCCGUGGCGAAGGCGGCGCUCUGGGACGGUACUGACGCUGAGGCGCGAAAGCGUGGGGAGCGAACAGG
rnacentral:rRNA from 1 species